rnacentral:rRNA from 1 species
UACGGAGGAGGCAAGCGUUAUCCGGAAUUAUUGGGCGUAAAGCGUCCGCAGGUGGCACCUCAAGUCUGCUGUCAAAGACCGGGGCUUAACCCCAGAAAGGCAGUGGAAACUGAAGUGCUAGAGUGCAGUAGGGGUAGAGGGAAUUCCCGGUGUAGCGGUGAAAUGCGUAGAGAUCCGGAGGAACACCAGCGGCGAAGGCGGCGCCUGGACUGGUACUGACGCUCAGGAGCGAAAGCGUGGGGAGCGAGUCCGG